CACCUCAUAUUAUCUGCCCGCAUAGUGGAUACCCACAGCUAUAGCGGUUCCUGGAAAUGAGGAAGAGUACCCUCACGGCGCGACCAGUCCAUUUCGCUUUACAGGACUUGGCUUGUGGCGUGGGCGUGGUGGGAUGUCUAUGGAUGGCUCGUGUAACCUUUCAAUGUUGCUCGAGUGGUUUUUAUAGCUCCCUACAUUU
rnacentral:snoRNA from 1 species